AACCCAAGCUACGCUGACUGGGGCUGGCUGUCCACGCGUUCCUCAUGCCUGUUUUCGUGCGCAGGCGUGGUUUGCAGCAAUAAACCGAUUACGCUCUAGGCACGGACCAGGAUUCUCUAUGGAUGAGGAGCGGCCUCCUGUAGCUUUGCAUCUCUACGGUGGAAAGCCACAACGACCAUAGACGUAUAAAUAUAGAGUCUACUUCCGCCCCGCGGAUUUCUAAAACCCGCCCAGCUGCUUCCUUCCCUUUCUUUUUCGUAGCUGAAGCCAAGAUGCCCAAGGGGAAGAAGGCCAAGGGGAAGAAGGUGGCUCCGGCCCCUGCUGUGGUCAAGAAACAGGAGGCCAAGAAGGUUGUAAAUCCUCUCUUUGAGAAAAGGCCCAAGAACUUCGG